UCUGCUUCUCCUGGGGGUCGUUUCAGUUUGGCCACUAGGUGGCGAUCGCGCUGUAGAAGUACACCUUAAUCCAGAAGAAGACAACAGUAUAAGGGGGAAAAACGAUGUUUUGGACCCCAAAUAGUUACUUUAAAAAAUAUUUCCUUAAAAGAGUUUGGAACAUCAAUGCCUCGUCCUGUUUACUCUCCGGGCCUGUGGCCGUGCCACCUCAGAGACUCUCCAGACCACCAAGGCCCUGGCGACUGACUUGGAUCGGUCAUUGACAGCCUUCGGCGUCGGAACAACAGGGAACGGCCUGGCAGAGUGAACAGAGACCCCAUACCAGGCCGACGGGGUGAGCCAGAGGGAUGAGUAAAUACAUGACUGAUGGAAAGUGGCUCAGUGUGGUGGGACCUCCUGACCAGCAGCAGAGCCCAGCCUGGAGGUGAUAUGGAGCCAAACAGAUGACCCAGCAGCAGGAAACCUCUGAGGUCAUUAAAGGCUUCGGUAUGGCCAUUUGAUCAGAGUGGAAACCUCUGAACAAAAACAUUGGAUAAAGCAAGCUGUUGCACCCCCUGGCCCUUCUGGACAUCAAUCUAUGAGGCCGGGAGUCCCUUUCAUUUUACAAGUCAUGGCCGCUUACAGAUUUUGAAGACUAUCGCUGCAGAGAUGGCUCUUCAAACUGCUAAAAUAUGUUAAAACAGCAAAAAUUAUGAUAAAAAAAUACAAAUUUACCCAAUGUGAUUGAAGCAAAUUUUCUUUAUCUUUACUGUUUUGUCUAUUUAAUAAAUAUUUGUGCAACUAAUCGAAGCAUGAAUUGAUUUGAGAGUUAAAAAAAGAUUAAAAGAACUAGAAAAUAGGACUUAAAUCCUAAAAAUAUUCACACAAUUCCUCACUUUGAACUGUUUUCUAAAAGGGCCUCACACUGGGUUUAAAUUUCACAUAAACUGAUAACCACUGAGCAAAGAAAAGGUCAGUCCAUGCGUAGAAGAACUGGAUUUGCUCAUUUUUGAUCACUGCCACAUUCUCUUCAAGGUUGCAGCAAAUCCCUCUCCAUCUAUUUGCAGGUUAUUGGCUGUAUUUUUCUGUUAUAUAAUAAAAGAGUAACAUUGACUGAUAUGUCUAGAAACCGGAUAAAUAAUCAGGAUCAGCACUAGAGCUACUUUCAAUCAGUCAUUAAUACUUUUGGAACAGAUCAUUUCAAUAAAAGUCAAUUAAAUUUAAUGGUGAAGCUAAAUGUCUGUGUCUAUUGGGUCAGAUCAGAAUCAGCUUAAAGUGAACGAAAAAAACAGAUUGUACACUUGAAAAAUAGACGUAAGUAAAAAAAAAAUAAAAUAAAAUUUGAAACCUGAAAAAAAGAAUU